UCGGAGUCUUCACCCUGACUCAGCCACUUCCUCUGUAAGAAUGAGCAGUUUCCUGUUUGCGAGUUGGUGGUGCGGAACAGAAAUCUCCACCGAGUUGCGUUCGGGUGGAAAAUGUCACAGCGGACGCAGCCCAUAUCCUUAUCUGUAAUUGCAAGAAUACUUUGUGUCCAGAGGCGGUUUAGAGUCCUCGCUGAAAACGCUGUAUCCAUUGGAACAUGCUGUGCAGAAAUGAGAAUUAGUAUUGCAGCAUUACAAUACACACUUCCUUAUUAGUAUACUGAAUAUCAUGAUGCCAUUUGGUGUGGCCUACAGCCCUGCAUCAUUGUUCAGUCGUCAUGGAGGGGCAAUCUUCAUUACUGCUAUAGUUUACCACUAGACUCAAGAGUUGUUUUUUUUCACUGCACAUUCAAAACCAAGAUCCAAACAGGAACCGACAGGACCUUUGUCUGUUCUUGCGUUUGUUAUUUACAGUACCCUUGGGUACCCUGAUUAUUGUCGAUGAUGUUCAUGUUCUUCUUAAUCUUUUUCUGUUAUUGUUAAUGUUAUUGCUGUUGUUGAUGUUAUUGUAACCUUUGAUGAAAUUAAGGCUUAAGAUAUGGUAAAUGGUCUGCACUUAUAUAGUGCUUUUAUCCAAAGCGCUUUACACUGUGGAUCAUUCACACACUCACACACACCAAUGGUAGCAGAGCUGCCAUGCAAGGCGCUAACUUGCGGUUCAUUGUCUUGCCCAAGGACACUUCUGCAUGUGGAGUAAUGCGGGCCGGGAAUCAAACCGCCAACCCUACGAUUAGUGGACAACCCGCUCUACCACCUGAACCACAGCCGCACCUGUGUUCUAUUCCUGAAAAGUAUCGUUUACCAAAUCCACUGAUGAUCUCACUAACUCUAGUGAAUGUUUCGAUGUAGGAUGUGGAAUUUUACGAGGCGAACACAGACAAGUGGAGUGAUACGUACAGUGAAACGUCCCAGUGCGUGCACUCUUGGUGCUUAUCGCCACUCAGCCAGUCAACUGAGUGGACUGGAACGAACCGUUGUAUAAUAGUAUAUCGCUACAUACCUGGAAGUUGCAAUGAGAUGAGAUUCUCUCUGCUGCCACAAUUCAACAAACCACUCUUCUUUCAAAUCCCAUUAUUUGUUUGCGUUUCGCACAUCGUACUUUUCACUACCGUAUUUAGAGCUGUAUUUGUAUUUGUGUCAUCCUAAGCCAUCCUGCUAUUUGUGGAUUUUAGAAGAGUGUCGUAGCUUUAGAUGAGUUACAAUAAAGUUACAGGUUGCAGGUUCGACCUCCACAAUAUUGUUACAUUUAUUUGUGUGUGUGUGUGUGUGUGGAGAAGCUCUGUAUAGGAGGAGCGCAGCUGAUGGAACUGAGAGAGAACCUGCACCGCUGUGCAGCCGCUGUGUGUGGUACGAAUACCUACCAUCAGCAAACGGCUUCGCACUGACAACAACGUAAUCACGUCGCAGUUGAUCUGGCCCAGCCAGGUACUUAUUAUUCAGCUGGCUAAUACUGAAUAAUAAUUCAAUAUUUACAUGCAAGAUGUGAACCAAAACCUCAUGAUCUGAUGGCAUACUUCUGGUUAUGUUCGUUUGGGUACUUGAGGACCAGAUCUUAGCAUUAAAUCUGAUCUCUACACCUAAUAAAUGCUGCUAGUUGUGUAUGAGCUAGUAAAUUGCAGAAAAAUUGGUUUCUCAUUUUAGUUAUUGUUUGGGUUUUUUUUUCCUCGAAGUACAUGACCAUUCUGCUGUGAAUGCAGGAUGUUUUUCGGUUGUUUUAAAUGUUUUUGUCAAUAGGCUCAGGAACCUACCUCAGAAUAAAUAAGGUGCUGAAUACAGCCAUGUCUAGAGCCUAAAAACCUUAAACUUAGCCAAUAAUAAUUAAUUAUUCAAAUCUACUGGGGAACAUUCAUUCAUUCUUUUAUGUUGCCUGGUGAGCAUUUAGCAUUUGUUGAGAACGGGUUUUUUUUUU
ensembl:lncRNA